AAUGGAUAUGUUCCAUUGUCCUGCUUCUUUCAUCGGAGGGCUCUCUUUGGGCUUUUCGAAAAGGUAUCACAUGUCAAGUUUGGCCUCACUAUAUAAAAGUUCUAGAGUCAUAAAGUUUUAACCAAAGAAAAAAAUUAAAAAAAAAGAGGGAUGCAACACGAGGACUUCCCAGGAGGUCACCCAUCGUAGUUCUACUCUCGUCCAAGCACGCUUAACUGCGGAGUUCUGAUGGGAUCCGGUGUAUUAGUGCUUGUAUGAUCGCAUCCGUUAGUAUAUGCAAUGCAAUCGUAUAUAUUCUUUUUUGAAGACUUGAUGAACCAUUCGCCAUGGGUUCCACCCGCUAUGUAGGGAUACCACAUCUAUUCUUAACGAGCUUUGAUGCAUGAAAAAAAU
rnacentral:sRNA from 1 species